UACGAAGGGGGCUAGCGUUGUUCGGAAUUACUGGGCGUAAAGCGCACGUAGGCGGAUACUUAAGUCAGGGGUGAAAUCCCGGGGCUCAACCCCGGAACUGCCUUUGAUACUGGGUAUCUCGAGUCCGGAAGAGGUGAGUGGAAUUCCGAGUGUAGAGGUGAAAUUCGUAGAUAUUCGGAGGAACACCAGUGGCGAAGGCGGCUCACUGGUCCGGUACUGGACGCUGA
rnacentral:rRNA from 1 species